ACAAUGGCAGGUACAGAGGGAUGCUACCGGGCGACCGGAUGCGGAUCUCGAAAGCCUGUCCCAGUUCGGACUGGAGUCUGCAACCCGACUCCACGAAGUUGGAUUCGCUAGUAAUCGCGCAUCAGCCAUGGCGCGGUGAAUACGUUCCCGGGCCUUGUACACACCACCCGUCAAGCCAUGGGAGCCGGGGGCGCCUGAAGUCCGGGACCGCGAGGACCGGCCUAGGGCGAAACUGGUAACUGGGGCUAAGUCGUAACAAGGUAUC
rnacentral:rRNA from 1 species